AGAGCUUCGAUCUGGUGCCAGCACGACAAGGAAGCUUUUACAUAGCUCAACAAUCUGGGAUGUUCUUUGAUCUCAAGAAGCCUCGGACCGGGCGUAUGUCCACCUGGGUACCGAAACUUCCCGCCUCGGGAACGCCCAUGUAUGACUCGUUAUUUCAAAUGCUCAGCUCGGCAUACCCGCCGACGUCGGCUGCCACGGCACCGAGUACGCCUCCGCAUUUCGAACGCCUCAGCAUUUCGAAUCCGAAUACCCAUGAUGAAACUUCCUCCGUCUCUACAGAGACCUGAUGAUAAAACUGUUUUAUUUUCAAUGUUCUAGACUCUUGUUUUAUUUUCAAUGUUUCAUUGCAGUACUUUUGUGAAUACGUAUUGGAUUCAUGUUCGAAUCCAAGUUCAGCAUAUGUCAUACUGCUCUUAUGAACUGAACUCAGUGGCAGGGCCUUCUAAUUCUCGUGGUAAUAUGUUGCUCAGUAAAGUUGACUUGAUGUUUCAUGACAUUAGCAGUGAGGAAGUUUAAUAUUUAAGAAUAUGACUACAUAAGCAAUUACCAUCGCCCGACUUUUAGCACAAUUAAAAGCCGAUGGAUAUACAUAAUGGUGGCGCAGGGAAGUCCUAAUCUGAGAGCAUAUGCUCAUGAGAAAUGCGGUAUGCACUAGAAAGUACAUUGAAAUUUGGUUACUAAAUGACAUGAUAACUGAUUAUUGUUGGAUGAAAUAUGUUCACCGGACCCUACUCUUUAGAUAUUUGGUAAUUCAUAAUUAAAGCAGCUCAUAUGAGCUGGUAAAUCAUUUAGUAAAAGAAUAUCACAGCAAAUACUUUGUACCCUAACAUUGCUUUAUGUCCAUAUAAAGUGAGCUUGACUCAUUUAGCGUGAAACAAUACUCUCAGUAAAAUACCUAACACCGACUUGUGACACCUAAAGCUACACAUGAUAAAAUUUCUAUUCUCUGGUCUUCGAAACAGAUUUGGAACAGAAAUCCGUUUGGUAAUGUAAUUUGAUUUUUCUAUUUCUAGAACAAAUUUCUAUUCCAUAAAUUGAUUUGAAGGAGAAACCUGAAGUUAAAAUUUUUAACUUCUCAAAAUCCGUUUGGUAAUAUAAUUUGAUUUUUCUAUUUCUAGAACAAAUUUCUAUUCCAUAAAUUGAUUUGAAGGAGAAACCUGAAGUUAAAAUUUUUAACUUCUCAAUUUCUAGUAAGAAAUUAAUUUCCGUUCUAGAAAUUUUGUUGUGCGCACCAUAAAAGAUUAGGUUUGUUGACUUUUAGUCAAUUAAUGGAUUUGAGAACCUCUGCCCCAUAGAGGCAGGCAAAAGCAUUUGGAACAAUUCUGCUUGACACCUUUUUUCAUGUUUGUCGGUACCCGCUGACAACUUAAAACACAUGAAACCAAAAAUAUUGGCCCCGGAGGUUUCCGUGCAUUCUUUUUACCUUGUCGAUGCGCAUGCCACUUGCCGGCUGGAGAAGAUGACUCACUUGCAGUUCAGGUGCCUAAAGUAUUAAACAAAAACCAAACCAAAGAAUCCUUGCUUGUCAAGUUGGUUGACAGAUAAUGCAUUUGAAGGAUCCAUGAAGACCAUAUAGCCCAUAGAAAAUAUUAGGUACCCUAAGAGUGCCACACAAUUUUUGUUCUGAAUUAUUCAGAGCAUGACACAUGUCCAUCUCUCUUCCACAUCAUCCCACUCUCUCAUUUGUAGUCCCUCUUUGUUAAUGCUUUGACGCUCUCUCUCCUCUGCUCUCCUCUGUAGACGGUCUCUCUCCUCUCUCUCCUCUAUGUCUCUCGCUUCCAUCACCCCUCAUCAAGUGAAACGCGAUGCCAACGGCCCUCCACCUUUAAUGGUUGCCUCCGUUGCCCCCGACUUUGACGCCAACGCAGCCUCUGCCUCCUCUCUUGAACCCGACUCUGACACCAACACCCCUUUGCCUCCCUCUUGCUACCUCUAGUCCUCUCUCUCUCUCUCUCUCUCUCUCUCUCUCGUCCUCAAAGUCGCGUCUCUCUUCCAGCAAACCACAAUGCUGACGCCCCUCUGCCAGUUGCCUCCGUCGCCCUCGACUCAGACACCAACGCCUCUACCUCUGCUUCUGCCUCCACUUACGUGCCUAAUGCCAACGAACCCUUGCUCGCGUUUUGACCUUCCUCUCUGCAAACGAAGGUCGCUCUGCUCACUCUUUCUCUCUUUCCUCCACAAAGCACCCCUGCUCUUGAACGCGGACGCCGCCGACGCCGUUGCCUCCCACCAUUGCCUUCCCAAGCCCCACUGAUAGAGAGAUUGUCUGCAAUUUUGUUCUCAGCAAUUUUUUUUUCCCCGCAACGGAAGAGAGAACGGGGAGAGAGAUAGUUUGCAGAGGAGAGAGAGCGUUAGAGCAGUGGGCCAGGGACUAUGGAAGAGAAGAGAGAGUGGGAUGGCGUGGGAGAGAGACGAACAUGUGUCAUGCUUUGAAUGGUUUAGAGUAAAAAUUGGGUGGCACUCUUAGGGUACCUAAUAUUUUCUCAUCAUUCUAUACAACCACCUUGACACGAAUUAUGAGAGGGUAGAGUGGCUUGACAACCUCUGUAACACGAAGACGACAAGAAUGACUUUCAGACAACAACCUUGUUGCAGAGCCGGGCGACAACUCCAUACCUUCUCAACCCUCAGAUAUGUCCUAGCAUUCACUGGAUGGAAUAGUAGACAAUUGUGAUAUCAGCAUAUCAAUCCAACAAUUUCCGGUAAAAUCUUUACUUAGCGCCAAUCCAACUGUAUCUGCAGUAUCAGGACUCAUAACAAAUGAGGGGCCGUAGAAAUUUUACCUAUUCGGGGUACUGUUUCGCCAAAUUUCCCUCUCGACCGCUCCGCCAGAGCUUCGCAUUCUCUCUAAUGAAACAAAUCCCUCACUCCAAUACUCAUUGCGACAAUCUCCCUCCUCGUUCUACUAUCCUCAACAUCCCCAACUCUCUCCCAAACCAUAUCACACUCGUCCUCCAAUUUGCUCAAGUGUCUCCUCAAAUUCACCCGCUUUUGCAGCCAUCUUCUCAUUCUCCCUCUUCACUCUCAUCGCCUCAUCAACAAUCUCCUCUGACCCCCUAACGAACCCCUCUUUCUCUCUCAUCAAUUCCCUCAGCUCCUCGUACGUACCCCCGCCCGCAUUGUGUCCUCCUGCAAUUGCCGUUUUUCCAAUUUCACCGCCUUCAUCGCCACCUCCACCUCCUCGACACGCCCCUCCCCUCUCCUAAUCACAUCCAUACAUCUGAGAACCACCGAAACCUUCUCCAGCAAUCUCUUCGUGCAAUUCCAAUACUCGUGCCAUUUCACGUCCGACCGCUCCUCAAUUUUCUCCAAAUUCAGGCGUAGAAGGGGCUGAACUGGAAAAAGAAAAAACAAGGGGGGGCUUUCUAGUCUUUUCAGCCGAAAGAACCGGUUUCGGGUCGGUCGGUGGAUCCGGACCCGAUGAUUCCAAAAUAAAAAAGAAAACCCUGGAAGCCCUAGAGAAAUUGUCUCCAGUUCACACAGAUCCAGCAGGAGGAGAUGUCGACGAUCGGUCCAGAAGACGUGACAGAAGCGGAAGGAGGAGGAGGAGGAGAGAUGUCGAUGGUGGGUCCGGAAGAAGACAGGGAUCCGAUGAUAGCGGAGGCCGAGCGGUUCGUGGAGAACUACUACAGCACGUUCGACGCGAACAGGGAGGGCUUGGUGAACCUGUACCGGCAACGAUCGGUGCUGAUUUUCGGCGGCCGGAAGAUCCAGGGCAAGGAGGCUAUCCUCGCCAAACUCACCUCCCUUCCGCAGCCGUGCCACCACGAAAUCGCCGAGUUCGAGUGCAGGACCUAUCGCUUGGCACCCGCAUCGGUCGCCGUGUUCGUCGGGGUCCGCGGCGGGACGUGGGUAGGCGGCAAGAAGGAGGAGGCGGACGGCGCCCUUAUACAGCAGGUCUCUCUCUUUCUCUCUAAGUUAUUAUUUCUUGUCUACGCUUUGCAAUUUCUCUAUCGAUCAAUCCAUUAAUCAAUCGCAUCGCGCAUAAAUACCGAGAGUACGUCUCAAGCUCCUUGUCUAACGCUCUGGCUGGCUCUGAUUCUUACCUUCAGAGCUUCGAUCUGGUGCCAGCACGACAAGGAAGCUUUUACAUAGCUGAACAAUCUGGGAUGUUCUUUGAUCUCAAGAAGCCUCGGACCGGGCGUAUGUCAACCUGGGUACCGAAACUUCCCGCCUCGGGAACGCCCAUGUAUGCCUCGUUAUUUCAAAUGCUCAGCUCGGCAUACCCGCCGACGUCGGCUGCCACGGCACCGAGUACGCCUCCGCAUUUCGAACGCCUCAGCAUUUCGAAUCCGAAUACCCAUGAUGAAACUUCCUCCGUCUCUACAGAGACCUGAUGAUAAAACUGUUUUAUUUUCAAUGUUCUAGACUCUUGUUUUAUUUUCAAUGUUUCAGUGCAGUACUUUUGUGAAUAGGUAUUGGAUUCAUGUUCGAAUCCAAGUUCAGCAUAUGUUAGAGUCAGAUUGCAGUUAUGAACUCAGUGGUAGGGCCUUCUAAUUCUCGUGGUAAUGUGUUGCUCAGUAAAGUUGACUUGAUGUUUCAUGACAUUAGCGGUGAGGAAGUUUAAAAUUUAAGAAUAUGACUACAUAAGCAAUUACCAUCGCGCGACUUUUACCACAAUUAAAAGCCAGAUGGAUAUACAUAAUGGUGCGCAGGGAAGUCCUAAUCUGAGAGCAUAUGCUCAUGAGAAAUGCGGUAUGCACUAAGAAAGUGCAUUGAACUAAAUGACAUGAUAACUGAUUAUUGUUGGAUGAAAUAUGUUCACCGGACCCUACUCUUUAGAUAUUUGGUAAUUCAUAAUUAAAGCAGCUCAUAUGAGCUGGUAAAUCAUUUAGUAAAAGAAUAUCACAGAAAAUACUUCGUACCCUAACAUUGCUUUAUGUCCAUAUAAAGUGAGCUUGAAUUAUUUAGCGUGAAACAAUACUCUCAGUAAAAUACCUAACACUGACUUGUGACAUCUAAAGUUACGUAGGAUAAAAUUUCUAUUCUCUGUUCUUCUAAACAGGUUUAGAAUAGAAAUUCGUUUGGUAAUGUAAUUUGAUUUUUUUUAUUUCUAGAAUAAAUUUCUAUUCCAGAAAUUGAUUUGAAUGAGAAAUCAGAAGCUAAAAUUUUUAAUUUUUCAAUUUUUGGCCAAAAAUUGAUUUCCGUUCUAGAAAUUUAAUUUUGUCGUGUGCACACUAAAAGACUAGGUUUGUUGACUUUUAGUCAAUUAAUGGAUUUGAGAACCUCUGCCCCAUAGAGGCAGGCAAAAGCAUUUGGAACAAUUCUGCUUCACCUUUGCCAAGAAUCUCUACCCCCCUUGACACCUUUCUUCAUGUUUGCCGGUACCCGCUAACAACUUAAAACACAUGAAACCAAAAAUAUUGGCCCUGGAGGUUUCCGUAUUCUUUUUACCUUGUCGAUGUGCAUGCCACUUGCCGGCUGGAGAAGAUGACUCACUUUUAGUUGAGGUGCCUAAAGUAUUAAACAAAAACCAAACCAAAGAAUCAUUUGCUUGUCAAGUUGGCUGACAGAUAAUGCAUUUGAAGGAUCCAUGAAGACCAUAUAGCCCAUCAUUCUAUGAGAAAAUAUUAGGUACCCUAAGAGUGCCACGCAAUGUUUGCUUUGAAUUAUUCAGAGCAUGACACAUGUCCAUCUCUCUUUCACGUCAUCCCACUCUCUCUUCUAUAGUCCCUCUUUGACGCUCUCUCUCCUCUGCUCUCCUCUGUAGACGGUCUCUCUUCUCUCUCUCCUCUAUGUCUCUCGCUUCCAUCGCCCAUCAUCAAGCGAAACGCGACGCCGACGGCCCUCCACCUCAGCUAGUUGCCUCCAUUGCCCCCGACUUUGACGUCGAUGUCGACGUCAACGCAGCCUCUGCCUCCUCUCCUAAACCCGACUCUGACACCAACACCCCUCCGCCUCUCUCUUGCUACCUCUAGUCCCCACCCCCUCUCUCUCUCUCUCUCUCUCUCUCUCUCUCUCUCUCUCUCUCUCUCUCUCUCUUGUCCUCGAAGUCGCGUCUCUCUUCCAGCAAACCACAACACUGACACUCCUCCGCCAGUUGCCUCUGUUGCCCUCGACUCAGACACCAACGCCUCUACCUCCGCCUCCGCCUCCACUUAUGUGCCUAACGCCAACGAACCCUUGCUCGCGUUUUGACCUCCCUCUUUGCAAGCGAAGGUCGCUCUGCUCGCUCUUUCUCUCUUUCCUCCAUGAAGCACCCCUACUCUUGAACGCUGACACCGCCAACGCUGUUGCCUCCCACCAUUGCCUUCUCAAGCCACACUAAUAGAGAGAUUGUCUGCAAUUUUGUUCUCCGCAAUUUUGUUCUCUCCGCAACGGAACAGAGAACAGGGAGAGAGAGUUCGCAGAGGAGAGCAGAGGAGAGAGAGCGUUAGAGCAGUGGGCCAGGGACUAUGGAAGAGAGAGUGGGACGGCGUGGGAGAGAGACGGACAUGUGUCAUGCUCUGAAUGAUUUAGAGUAAAAAUUGGGUGGCACUCUUAGGGUACCAAAUAUUUUUUCAUCAUUCUAUACAACCACCUUGACACGAAUUAUGAGAGGGUAGAGUGGCUUGACAACCUUUGUAACACAAAGACGACAAGAAUGACUUUCGGACAAAAACCUCAACUCCAUACCUUCUCAACCCUCAGAUAUGUCCUAGCAUUCACUGGAUGGAAUAGUAGACAAUUGUGGUAUCAGCAUAUUAAUUUGACAAUUUGCGGUAAAAUCUUUACUUAGCUCCAAUCCAACUGUAUCUGCAGUAUCAGGACUCAUAACAAAUGAGGGGCCGUAGAAAUUUUACCUAUUCGGGGUACUGUUUCCCCAAAUUUCCCUCUCGACCGCUCCACCAGAGCUUCGCAUUCUCUCUAAUGAAACGAAUCCCUCACUCCAAUACUCAUUGCGACAAUCUCCCUCCUCGUUCUACUGUCCUCAACAUCCCCAGCUCUCUCCCAAACCAUAUCACACUCGUCCUCCAAUUUGCUCAAGGUCUCCUCAAAUUCACCCGCUUUUGCAGCCAUCUUCUCAUUCUCCCUCUUCACUCUCAUCGCCUCAUCAACAAUCUCCUCUGACCCCCUAACGAACCCCUCUUUCUCUCUCUUCAAUUCCCUCAGCUCCUCGUACGUACCCCGCCCGCAUUGUCUCCUCUUCCUGCAAUUGCCGUUUUUCCAAUUUCACCGCCUUCAUCGCCACCUCCACCUCCACCUCCACCUCCUCGACACGCCCCUCCCCUCUCCUAAUCACAUCCAUACAUCUGAGAACCACCGAAACCUUCUCCAGCAAUCACUUCGUGCAAUUCCAAUACUCGUGCCCUCUCACUUCCGACCGCUCCUCAAUUUUCUCCAAAUUCAGGCGAAGAAGGGGCUGAACUGGAAAAAGAAAAAACAAGGGGGGGCUUUCUAGUCUUUUCAGCCGACGGAGAACCGGUUUCGGGUAGGUCGGUGGAUCCGGACCCGAUGAUUCCAGAAUAAAAGAAAGAAAACCCUGGAAGCCCUAGAGAAAUUGUCUCCAGUUCACACAGAUCCAGGAGAGAUGUCGACGAUGGGUCCAGAAGAGGUGACAGAAGCGGAAGGAGGAGGAGGAGAGAUGUCGAUGAGGGGUCCGGAAGAAGACAGGGAUGCGAUGAUAGCGGAGGCCAAGCGGUUCGUGGAGAACUACUACAGCACGUUCGACGCGAACAGGGAGGGCUUGGUGAACCUGUACCGGCAACGAUCGGUGCUGAAAAUCGAGGGCCGGAAGAUCCAGGGCAAGGAGGCUAUCCUCGCCAAACUCAUCUCCCUUCCGCAGCCGUGCCACCACGAAUUCCCCGAGAUCAGUUGCUGCACCUAUCGCUUGGCACCCGCAUCGGCAUCGGUCGCCGUGCGCGUCCUGGUCCGCGGCGGGACGUGGUUAGGCGGCAAGAAGGAGGAGGCGGACGCCGCCCUUAUACAGCAGGUCUCUCUCGUUCUCUCUAAGUUAUUAUUUCUUGUCAACGCUUUGCAAUUUCUCUUAUCGAUCAAUCCGUUAAUCAAUCGCAUCGCGCAUAAAUACCGAGAGUACAUCUCAAGCUCCUUGUCUAACGCUCUGGCUGGCUCUGAUUCUUAACCUUCAGAGCUUCAAUCUGGUGCCAGCACGAGGAGGAAGCUUUUACAUAGCUCGACAAUCUGGGAUGCUCUUUGAUCUCAAGAAGCCUCGGUCCGGGGGUCUGUCCUACUGGCUACCGAAACCUCCCUGCUCGGCAGCGCCCUUUCUUGGCCCGUUAUAUCAAAUCCUAUCCUCGGCAUACCCGCCGACGUCGGCUGCCACGGCACCGAGUACGCCUCCGCAUUUCGAACGCCUCAGCAUUUCGAAUCCGAAUGCCACCCAUGAUGAAACUUCCUCCGUCUCUACAGAGACCUGAUGAUAAAACUGUUUUACUUUCAAUGUUCUAGACUCUUGUUUUAUUUUCAAUGUUUUGUUGCACUACUUUUGUGAAUACGUAUUGGAUUCAUGUUCGAAUCCAAGUUCAGCAUAUGUCAUACUGCUCUUAUGAACUGAACUCAGUG
rnacentral:lncRNA from 1 species